AUUGAACGCUGGCGGCAGGCCUAACACAUGCAAGUCGAGCGAGCGGCGGUCGGGAGAGAAAUGCCUGGGAAGUGCCCAGUCGAGGGGGAUAACAGUUGGAAAAGACAGCUAAUACCGCAUAAGCUGGGGUUGCCCAGGGGGGAGUAGCUAGUUGGUGAGGUAAGGGCACACCAAGGCGACGAUCCCUAGCUGGUCUGAGAGGAUGAUCAGCCACACUGGAACUGAGACACGGUCCAGACUCCGACGGGAAGCAGCAGUGGGGAAUAUUGCACAAUGGGGGAAACCCUGAUGCAGCCAUGCCGCGUGUGUGAAGAAGGCCUUCGGGUUGUAAAGUACUUUCAGCGAGGAGGCGUUACUCGCAGAAGAAGCACCGGCUAACUCCGUGCCAGCAGCCGCGGUAAUAC
rnacentral:rRNA from 1 species